rnacentral:rRNA from 1 species
GAGUUUGAUCCUGGCUCAGGACUAACGCUGGCGGCAUGCAUCAUACAUGCAAGUCGAACGAUCGGCUUCCGGUGCUUGCAUCGGGAGUACGGAGUGGCGCACGGGUGAGUAACGCGUAGGUAACCUGCCUCACGGCCUGGGAUAGCCGGUCGAAAGAUCGAUUAAUACCGGAUACGACGGAGAGCUCUGCGGGGUUCUCCGGGAAAGGUGCUUCGGCAUCACCGCGAGAUGGGCUUGCGUACUAUUAGCUUGUUGGUGGGGUAAAGGCCUACCAAGGCAGUGAUGGGUAGCCGGCUUGAGAGAGUGAACGGCCACACUGGAACUGAGACACGGUCCAGACUCCUACGGGAGGCAGCAGUAGGGAAUUUUCGGCAAUGGGCGAAAGCCUGACCGAGCAAUGCCGCGUGAGGGAUGAAGGUCCUAGGAUCGUAAACCUCUGUCAUUGGGGAAGAAGGCCACCAGGAGGUAAUGCCUGGUGGAUUGACGGUACCCAAGGAGGAAGUCACGGCUAAUUACGUGCCAGCAGCCGCGGUAAUACGUAAGUGGCAAGCGUUGUCCGGAAUCACUGGGCGUAAAGAGCACGUAGGCGGCUCUGUAAGUCCGAGGUGAAAUCCAGAGGCUCAACCUCUGAACUGCCUUGGAAACUGCAGAGCUCGAGGGUCUGAGGGGAAAGUGGAAUUCAGGGUGUAGCGGUGAAAUGCGUAGAUAUCCUGGAGAACACCGGUGGCGAAGGCGGCUUUCUGGCAGACUCCUGACGCUGAGGUGCGAAAGCUAGGGUAGCGAACGGGAUUAGAUACCCCGGUAGUCCUAGCCCUAAACGAUGAGUACUAGGUAUCGGCCCUCAGGGUCAGUGCCGACGCUAACGCAUUAAGUACUCCGCCUGGGGACUACGAUCGCAAGGUUGAAACUCAAAGGAAUUGACGGGGGCCCGCACAAGCGGUGGAGCAUGUGGUUUAAUUCGAUGCAACGCGAAGAACCUUACCUGGGCUUGACAUCCCCGGACAGCCCUGGAAACAGGGUCUUCCAAGCAAUUGGACCGGGUGACAGGUGGUGCAUGGCUGUCGUCAGCUCGUGUCGUGAGAUGUUGGGUUAAGUCCCGCAACGAGCGCAACCCCCGUGUUUAGUUGCUAACGGUUCGGCCGAGGACUCUAGACAGACUGCUGGUUUUACGCCAGAGGAAGGUGGGGACGACGUCAAGUCAUCAUGCCCCUUACGCCCAGGGCUACACACGUGCUACAAUGGCAGGUACAAAGGGCUGCGAAGCGGUAACGCCAAGCCAACCCCAUAAAGCCUGCCUCAGUUCAGAUUGAGGGCUGCAACUCGCCCUCAUGAAGGUGGAAUCGCUAGUAAUCGUGAAUCAGCAUGUCACGGUGAAUACGUUCCCGGGCCUUGUACACACCGCCCGUCACACCACCCGAGUCGGGUGCUCCCGAAGUCGCAUACUUAACUUCGUGAGGGAUGUGCCGAAGGAGUGCUUGGUAAGGGGGGUGAAGUCGUAACAAGGUA